CCAAAGUGGGGGGGGGGGGAUCAGCUGUUUUGAAGCAAUUGUAACAGGAAGCAGGAGAGUAGAAGUAAACAAUGCGAAGAGUUGAUGUUUUCUCGUAAAAAUACUCAUAUUUUUCGCAACGUUCGUUAUUUUGCAUUGACCCGUGUCAUUGAUUUAUUACCGUCUUAUUUUGCCACGUCUUUGUAAAUUUAAAAUAGAUCGUUUAUCUUCUGUUGAAGGAAAUUCAGUAGCUUGGACGGUCCAAAAUGGAUGACAGUAAGAUGGUGGGAGGCAAAGUGAAGAAACCAGGCAAGCGUGGCCGCAAGCCAGCUAAGAUCGACCUGAAGGCUAAGCUGGAGAGGAGCCGGCAGAGUGCAAGAGAGUGCCGGGCCAGGAAGAAGCUCAGAUACCAGUACUUGGAAGAGCUGGUCUCCAGCAAGGAGAGAGCCAUCUGUGCAUUGCGGGAGGAGCUGGAGAUGUACAAGCAGUGGUGCUCAGCAAUGGAUCAAGGAAAGAUUCCUUCUGAAAUCAAGGCUUUGCUGACAGGGGAUGAGCAUAAGACCUCACAAAGCAGCAGCAAGACCAUCAAGAAUGGCAAGAAUAACACAGCCAGCUGUGGACAAUAGUGAAGAACCUAUAUAGUCAUAUUCGGACAGCCCUGCGAUGGUGAGCUCGUCUCUCAGCAACAAACUCUGCGACGAAACAGUUGAAAGUGAGAAAAUGUAGGAAGACACCUCUGACCCAUCCACCUUCAAACCGAUCAUCUUUCUACACGUCACAGGCAGCACCUCUGUGUUGAAACCAGAUCUUCAGCGCCAAUUACAGGAGAGGUGUGUUUCUUACCCAAAGCCCGACGCUACCACCAAGUGCCUGCAAGGCUGCAGGGGUUGCUGUGUUGCUAGGAGAGCCCUGUCCUACUUAUCGUACCCUACACUAAGUGGCAUUUAGAAAGCUGUGUAGUGCCGCUUGGGGAAUCCUGGUCAGAGUUGGCUAGUGGCAUGUUCUUGAAAUGAACACAUGAUCAUAGUGCUCAAUCUGUGCUCAGGCACACAACUUUAUCAUUUCUGCCUCUUGGGAGGCCCUAAACAGUGAUUUGAAAAUGUGACUAAGUGUCUGUAAUAUUCGCUUACUCAUAUAGGUGAAUCCCUUUCCCCUGCCCCUCACACAGAUUCAUACAUGCUGGCCCAUAAAAGUACAAUAGGGUUAUACAGCUAUUAAGACAAACAUUUUAUAAGCACACACAUUUAAGAUGGUGUACAUCUUUGUAGUAUUUGUGCAUGUGGCAUUGGCAGGAAGAAAGUUUAAGAACUUGCAGCUUUCACUAAAGAAACUCUGGAAUAAGGAUAAGGAUACCUUGAAACAAUGUUUCUGAAUAAUACAUUUUAUUUUCAAUUAAACAGGGGGAUUCUCAUAUUUUUCAUUAAAUUGCAAGUCAAUUUAGUCAUUGUCCCAUGAUUUAGAACAGCCCAUUGUGUACUUUUGACAUCUUAGCUUGGAGUUAUGAACCCCACAACUGCACAGAGGGGAGAAUGAGGAAGUUUAGGUUGGCCCCUCCAAUCUGCAUACCAACACGCCAUUUGUCUUUUAACACAUGGGCAACAGAGAUUCAAUGCCAACAGGUGGAGAGGUGCACCCUUCACUGACAGCACCUGCAUGCUACAUCCUUGUCAGUGAGAGCUGAGAAAGCCCCUAACCUACCCUUGGCAGCACUCAGACAUUUGUGUGCAGUACUGCUUGCAGAAACCCAGUCACAAUGGGCUACAGACAUUACACAGGCUCAAGCACAUCAUCGUAGAGCUCUUUACUAGUGGAGCGUCUCGGAAACUCCCCCCUUUUUUUAAAUACAAAAUGAGCCUUUUGAAUCUAUUUCACACACCAGUUUUACACUGCCUGUGACUCAAAAUGAAAAAACAAAUGUAAACUGCUGGGUUUAAUGCCUACUCUAAUUAGGUCAGUUUGAGAAAGCAGCACAUGUGUGAUGCAUCUUAUUUCACUGAUGUUAUAACAGGAUAUGGGCAAGUAUUAGGUGGCAUGGAAGGACAUGACAUGACGAAGAUACUGUCUCCCAGCCCUACCAGUAUUCUACCUAGUUUUGUGGCAUAAAGUGUUACAUAUGGUUUCCUGUUUGGUGCUUUUGAAACAGCAAAGGCUAGCAAACAGGAGACAGUUCACUACAUUUAAAUGUGAUUACAAUAUUAAUUCACCUUCUUGCAAUUCACCUGUUAUAUCGAAACCUGUCUGUUAUUUAGCACUUUAGAGGAAUGAGGUUCCAUGAAGCUAGAUAUUGCAACUGUUGCUCAUGGUAAAUGUUACUUAAAAAUUAAGGAAGAUUAAUUUGUUUCCGUCUUUAUAUAGAUAUAAAUUAUAAGAUCAUUAUUUCCUUUUCUUGUUUUUAUAAGAUCACAAAUCUUCUAAGAGUUCAUCAGUGCCAUUUUGAUAAAACAUACAUGAUAUAGAAUGUAAUUUCUUAGAGAAAAUGAGAACAAAAACGUCUUGAAUGUCCCCUUACAAUGAGGAUAUAUUUGUAACAUUAUCUUAAUUUAAGACAUAUGUUGUAUAGUGAUUAUUGAUCUGAAUACUUUUUGUUCCAUUUUUUGCUGUUAAUAGAUAGUUAUAAAUAGGGAGUGUUAUAUAAAGGUAACAGUGAAUGAAUUUAAAUUCAAAAUAACUACGUGCUCUCUAUUAUCAGGAAUGUAAGCCUACCAAGCAGUUUGCAUGGUUUAUUUGCUACUCUGGCACAGUGCUUUCCCUUUUGCAGUGAAAUGCUGGAGCAACAAGGAGGCAAAAACUUAAAAGCCAAAUAUUUAUUUACUACACAUUAUUGCAAGCUAACAAAUCAACACAUACAGUAUACUACUGUUUACAAAUUAUUAGCAAAGACUGCAAGUCCCUGAACCCAGGCUUUUUACAGUCCAAAGCUACUCUCGUUCCUGAAAAGAUAGACGAGCCUUAGUGCAAACUAAAAGCCACGUGGCAGACAAUAGGGAGACAAUGCUGGAUUCUGAACAACAAAAGAUCCUUUACAAGAUAAUCUGCUCUGUAACAUAUAUAGAGUUGUUACUCUGUACCAAGCAAUGCAUUCCAGAGAUUCAAGCUGUUACUGGCAGAUACUAAAACAAAUCUUUCCUCAAUUAUAAAAACCGCAGCCCUUUCCCCCUAAGUAUAGUUAUAAUUCCAUUAUGCGAUCAAAGAUACUAGUUAUGUUUCGUAACAAAAAGCGUAGGCUGAAAUGGUGAUGCUUUGGAUCUGCAGAAAAGUGAAACUCAUUCAGAGUGUUUUGCUUCUUUCUGUUCCGGAGUAUAAGAGAGAAUCAGCUGUUUCCUGUUGUGGCUAAUUCUACUUCUUACAUACUGAGAUGGUCUUCCUGCACCAGCCUGUCACUUCUUAGACCCCAUGUCCCAUGUCUCCCUAGGGACAUACCUCCUUUUAGUGGAUAGUUGUAAAGGACACUCUAAGAAACUUGUUACCUGACCCGUGACUUUGCAAACUGCAGAGCUCUUCAUAUGCAGUGUAGGCACUAAACAGAUGGCCUUAAUAAGCCAUCCGUGUACCCCGAGUUGAGUUCUGGCUUGUAUUGGCUGAAUACUACUGAAUAUAAAAUGGCAAUUACAACAAUAAUAUUUAUUUGAAUAUUGAAUUGAGCACUUAAGUCCCUUGCAUCACCAAGAGAUCAUUUAUAAUGAAAUAAAAAAAAAGAUUUUUAUCAUAUAAUUAUAUUGAAUGUUAAGAUAGAAAGGUGGGUCUAAAAUAAGUUUCUAAAGACUACUUUGAUGUGUAUCUGAUUAAUGCUAAUUUCAGAUUUUUUCUUUUAUAUAUCAGUCUAUAUAUAUAUUGAGUCUGUAAGUACACAUGUACUGCAGUCCAUGUACUAAACAUGAUUAUGUAUAGCCUUGCAUGUUGGGAUGCAUGUUGUUUGGCAAAUUAAAUGCAUCUCUUCAUUUAAACUCUUCACUUAAAAGACCAAUGCAUUUUAACUAGCCCAUUGUUUAUGUUAAAAAGUGUUAAAUUUGUAACCGAGCAUAUGAAAAUCUGUCUGCAUUUAAUCUUAUCCACAGCUAUCUUGAAUGUAGCAUAGAAUAUCAAGAUAAACAUUAAUACAGAGUACUUUAAAGAUGGGUCAUAGCUAAACAGAUUAUUUUAGUUUUGGACAAUGUCCAUUUACACUAAAUUAGGCAGUAUAAACAUGACAUUAUUCAUUUAACCUGUGAAAAAAUACAUUUUUUAAAAAAUUACUGCCUAAAGAAGCUUUUGUGAAAGAAUGUAGUAGAAUUUUAACUAGACUGCAACUUGAACUUCCUACCUGUAUUGUGAAGAGCUUCAGAAACCUAUUUAACAUGAUUGCCAAGUACGUUUGUUUGAGAAUUUGAUAAAAGCAACCUGUACUUUUGAAAGUCAUGCCUCCUUUGUUAUAGUUUGUAACAUUUCAAUAAUAGUAGAUUGUAUAUGUAUAGCGAUUAUACCAUUAUUGUGAUGUGUAAUGACUUCUCCUAGUACAGUAUAUAAUUUUGACAAAAUCUGCAAUGCAAAAAAUAUUUAUUGUUUUCAUGUGUUCAAAUUUUUGUUAGCUGUUUAUGUUGAUGCACUUUUGAGUUUAGAGCUAUUAAUGUGUUUUCAUGUCUAUUUUCUGUCCUGUUGCUAAGAGUGCUUGUAGUUCAGUCAUAGUGGCUGAAAUACUCUUUAAGCUGUAAUUGGAAAUCGUUUUGUUAAACAGUUCAUUGUGAAGGCUUUGAAACAAGAAAUCUUAUUUUUGAGUUUACUGAAUAAAGUUCUAUCCUGUUAUAGUGCCAUGCACUUCACAGUGAAGCAGAUCCUGGAGUUCUUGCCAUUUGUUUGGCUUACCACAGGCACCUACUGCAGAUGGUCUCAAUGAUUUUACAUACCAGGCUGCUCUGUAAUGUAAGAAUUUUGCAAUUGCAGAAAUCCUACCCAAAGAGGAUGCCAGAUGUAAAAAGUAACACAGUAAAGCACAUGAGCCCAGUGAGCACUGUUCAGAGGUUUUUAAGCACGUUUUAACUGUGUGGAUAAAACAAACUUCACAGUAAUGCAUACAUUACUAUAUUAUAUGUUAUAUGUUGGGUCAUAUUUGAAGGAAACAGGCAUUUGUUCAUUUGCUGUUUCAUAUUUCUUGGAGUUGUGUUACACCUCAAUCAAUAUUACCUGCUAUCUUCUUUUAGCCUCCAUCUAAGUCAAAUUAAUUGACAAAUGUGUCCGGUUAUGUUUUGCACUUUAAUUAUAGCUUGCACUAGAAAAAAAGUCACACUUUAGUUUAGGGGUUGGAAAAUUAAUUAAUUUGACUGAUAUUUUUAUCCACAUUGAUUUAAAUUUUUACCUAGCAAAAUACAGCUGGGUAUUUUACUGGAGCAAUAUGGGUGAAGUACCUGCCAUAUCUCAGCUGGAUUAUAAACACACAUCCUCCCGGUUUUGAGUCUGGAACCCCAAUCACUGAUCCCCAAAGAUAAAAAGCUAACUGUUAAUACAUUCAUAAAGUAUUAUAGGUGUAAUAAGUUACCUUCUGUAAAUAAUCCUAGGGCUAUGGUUUUGUUAUAAUGAUGCAGUAAAUCUACCAUGGAUGUUGAUUAUUAGCACACUUAUAUCACUCUGUUAAUACUUUAUUAAUGUAUUACAUUAAUCACAUUAUGUGAAUUGCAGUUUCAACUCCUAUUGUAAGUGUUAUCGGAAAUUCAGCAGGGCUGAAUAUAUCCGCUCUGUAGUAUUGUAUUAAAAACACUCAAAAAUGAAAAGUUGGAAAAACAUCCUGUUUGUUAAUAUAUCUGGCUGAAACUAAUGCAGGAAAAAGUAAAAUUAUUUUUGCAGACUCCAUGGGUUGGAGUUGGAAGAAUUGAAUUUUCUAGACAGUUAUGCUGUUUUUAAUCAAUGUUUAAGUUUUAGAAACAAUUGCAUGUCUGAGUAAAUUUUGUGAAUGUCACCUUCUCUUCAAUUACUUACUUUUCCUUACUGUUGUUCAAUUGUAAGUAUUGUAAAGUUUAUUGUGAGUGGCAAAGCUAUAUUUUUACAUUUCCAAAAAAAGAUAUAUGAUGUCUGAUUGCUUAAAUUACAAAUAUCUAUUUUUUGUUAGUAUAACUCACAGUUUAUGCUAUUAAAGCUGGUCUAGCAUCUC